rnacentral:rRNA from 1 species
GACGAACGCUGGCGGCGUGCUUAACACAUGCAAGUCCAACGGAAAGGCCCUGCUUUUGUGGGGUGCUCGAGUGGCGAACGGGUGAGUAACACGUGAGUAACCUGCCCUUGACUUUGGGAUAACUUCAGGAAACUGGGGCUAAUACCGGAUAGGAGCUCCUGCUGCAUGGUGGGGGUUGGAAAGUUUCGGCGGUUGGGGAUGGACUCGCGGCUUAUCAGCUUGUUGGUGGGGUAGUGGCUUACCAAGGCUUUGACGGGUAGCCGGCCUGAGAGGGUGACCGGCCACAUUGGGACUGAGAUACGGCCCAGACUCCUACGGGAGGCAGCAGUGGGGAAUAUUGCACAAUGGGCGGAAGCCUGAUGCAGCAACGCCGCGUGCGGGAUGACGGCCUUCGGGUUGUAAACCGCUUUCGCCUGUGACGAAGCGUGAGUGACGGUAAUGGGUAAAGAAGCACCGGCUAACUACGG